AUUUUAAAGGACCCAAACUCAUUCCUUAUCUGAGUCUGUGAAGAUGAGAGAGUGGAGAUGUUGGUCAACUCUUGCAGAAGAAUUUGGGACAGCAGAAACUAUGUAAGAUUUCGACUGUGUUUCCAUUCCUUAUCAGAGUUUAUAUGAAGGUUUACUUAUAUGAGCAUGUGAGAGAGUGGAGAUGCUGGUCAACUCUUGCAGAAGAAUUUGGGACAGCAGAAACUAUGUAAGAUUUCGAUCUGUAUUUCCAUUCCUUAUCAGAGUUUAUAUGAAGGUUUACUUAUAUGAGAAUGUGAGAGAGUGGAGAUGCUGGUCAACUCUUGCAGAAGAAUUUGGGACAUCAGAAACUAUGUAAGAUUUCGAGUGUAUUCAACUAUUUUAACUGACCCAAAGCCAUUCAUUAUCAGAGUUUGUGGAGGUUAGCUUACAAGAGAAGGUGAGAGAGUUGAAAUACUUGUCAACUCAUGCAUAAAAAUGUGGGAUAGGAAAAAACAUGUACUAUUUCGACAGUAUUUCACUUUUUAAUGUACCCAAAACCAUCAAUUAUCAGAAUUUAUGAGGAUUUACUUGUGAGAGAGUGGAUAUGUUGGUUAACUCAUGCAUAAUAAUUUGGGACAGCAAAAACCAUGUAAUAUUUCAACUGUACAUCACUUUUUCUUAAUGUACCCAAAACCAUUCCUUGUAAGAGUUUGUGAGAAUUUACUUACAUGAGACGGUGAGAGAGUGAAUAUGCUUGUCAACUUUUGCAGAAGAAUUUGGGACAGCAGAAACAAUACUUCAACUGUAUUUAACUUUUUCUUAAUGUACCUAAACCAUUCCUUGUCAGAGUUUGUGAGAAUUUACUUAUAUGAGGAGGUGAGAGAGUGGAGAUGCUGGUCAACUUUUGCAGAAGAAUUUGGGACAGAAGAAAAAAUGUAGUAUUUCGACUGUAUUUAACUUUUUUUUAAUACGUGAACGAAAUUUUAAGAGGAUAAAGUAGGAAAAAAGUUAAAAAAAGAGUAUUAUUAUUAUUAUUAUUAUUAUUAUUAUUAUUAUUAUUAUUAUUAUUAUUAUCAUUAUUGUAUGAAUGGUUGCCUCAAUAGAUAAACUUCUUCUCUGCAUUAGGAAAAAUAAUUCAAAUAGAUAGAUAUUAAUAGAAGGUGUGUGCGUGUGUGUGUACGUGUGUGUGUGUGUGUGUGUGUGUGUGUAUGUGUGUGUGUGUAGGUUACGUACAUAGCUAUAGUGUACAUAGAAAACUUAAAAUACACAUAAAAAAAACUUACAUGAUUAAAGAAGGAAAAAAGGAAUUAUUAGAUAGGAAAUAAUUGACUAAUGAGAUUAUGUAUACUAGAGUGUGUGUGUGUGUGUGUGUGUGUGUGUGUGUGUGUGUGUGUGUGUGUGUGUGUGUGUGUGUGUACAUAAUAAAUUCGCUUUUCCGUCACCGAUAAUUUUUUGUUUGUUUGUUUGUGUGUUUACGAACGAAAAAAAAAUUAUUAUAUAUAUAUUAAAAAAAAUAAUAAUAGUAAUUCUUAAGGUUAUUCCCUCACGCUUCAAAUAAAAAUGUCAAUAAAAAAAUCAAUAAAAAAUAAUAAAUGAUAAUAGUAAAAAAAAAUAAAAAAUGAAGACUGAAUUAUCAUCAUUAUUAUUAUUAUUAUUAUUAUUAUUAUUAUUAUUAUUAUUAUUAUUAUUAUUAUUAUUAUUAUUAUUAUUAUUAUUAUUAUUAUUAUUAUUAUUAUUAUUAUUAUUAUAAGACGUUUUGAUACAUAAUGUAAUAAUAAAAAUCAAAAUUGUUGUUACUAUUUUUAUUAUUAUUUUUAUUAUUUUCUUUUUUUUCGCGCAUAACAGCUAUAUAUUAUUAUCUCUCUCUCUCUCUCUCUCUCUCUCUCUCUCUCUCUCUCUCUCUCUCUCUCUCUCUCUCUCUCUCUCU